rnacentral:rRNA from 1 species
GUCGAGGGGUAACAGUAUGUAGCAAUACAUAGCUGACGACCGGCGCACCGGUGAGUAACGCGUAUGCAACCUGUCCGUUACAGGGGGAUAGCCCAUGGAAACGUGGAUUAACACUCCAUAAUAUAAUAUAGAGGCAUCUUUGUAUUAUUAAAUAUUCAUAGGUAACGGUUGGGCAUGCGUCCUAUUAGAUAGUUGGGGGGGUAACGGCCCACCAAGUCGAUGAUAGGUAGGGGUUCUGAGAGGAAGGUCCCCCACACUGGUACUGAGACACGGACCAGACUCCUACGGGAGGCAGCAGUGAGGAAUAUUGGUCAAUGGGCGAGAGCCUGAACCAGCCGAGUCGCGUGAGGGAUGACUGCCCUAUGGGUUGUAAACCUCUUUUGUAUGGGGGGAAUAAGCUUUACGAGUAGAGUGAUGACAGUACCAUACGAAUAAGCAUCGGCUAACUCCGUGCCAGCAGCCGCGGUAAUACGGAGGAUGCGAGCGUUAUCCGGAUUUAUUGGGUUUAAAGGGUGCGUAGGCGGCAUUAUAAGUUAGUGGUAAAAUAUUGGGGCUUCACCUCACUACGCCAUUAAUACUGUAGAGCUAGAGAACAGACGAGGUAGGCGGAAUAAGUUAAGUAGCGGUGAAAUGCAUAGAUAUAACUUAGAACACCGAUAGCGAAGGCAGCUUACCAGACUGAGUCUGACGCUGAUGCACGAGAGCAUGGGUAGCGAACAGGAUUAGAUACCCUGGUAGUCCAUGCCGUANACGAUGCUCACUGGCCUUAGGCGAUAUANGGUCUGA